rnacentral:rRNA from 1 species
GUGCCAGCAGCCGCGGUAACACGUAGGGUGCAAGCGUUGUCCGGAAUCAUUGGGCGUAAAGAGCUCGUAGGCGGCUUAGUAAGUCGGGUGUGAAAACUCUAGGCUCAACCUAGAGACGCCACCCGAUACUGCUAUAGCUAGAAUCCAGUAGGGGAGUGUGGAAUUCCCAAUGUAGCGGUGAAAUGCGCAGAUAUUGGGAGGAACACCAGCGGCGAAGGCGGCACUCUGGGCUGGUAUUGACGCUGAGGAGCGAAAGCGUGGGUAGCGAACAGGAUUAGAUACCCCUGUAGUCC